CCACUGCUGACGAGUCCCGAACAGGACGAAAUAGCUGUCCAGUGC
rnacentral:hammerhead_ribozyme from 1 species